rnacentral:pre_miRNA from 1 species
UUGCUACUCCUUCCGCCCUAAAUUUCUUGUCUUAGAUUUGUCUAGAUAUAAAUGUGUCUAGUCACGUUUUAGUAUUUAGAUACAAUCAUUUCUAAACAAAUAUAAGACAAGUAUUUUGAAACGGGGGGAGUAUUUC